GCAGUUUUCUUACACUUGAUAAAGGACUUUCUUCACCCAGACUAGGGCGCCAUGAACCCCAAAAACUAACGGGCUGAAAGAGGAAACUAAAUGGAAAUCUAUAAAGAAAUUCAAUAGAAAAUGAGUCUGACAGAAGAAAGAAAGGACCAGAGAAUAAUUGGUACAGGUACCACAUUUUGAGAUUCCCCCAAACGUGGCUACUUAAACAAG
rnacentral:lncRNA from 1 species